ACAUAAGUUAUAUAAAUUUAAAUAAAAAUUAAAAUACAAAAAUGUAUUUAAUGUAUUAUUUAAAUGAAGAUGGAAAUCGAGUAUACACAUUAAAAAAAAUUGAUCCAAAUGGAAAACCGACAUUAUCAGCCCAUCCAGAAGAUAAAUACUCAAGAGAAAGAAUAACAUUAAAAAGAAGAUUCGGUUUGUUACUCACGCAACAACCAGCACCUACUUACUAAUAUUUACAUAAUUUUAUAUGUAAUCAUAUAUUCAUAUAUUGUAUACAAAUGAUAUUAUAAUAAUAAAUAUAACAUAAAUUUUAAAAUA